rnacentral:rRNA from 1 species
UACGGAGGGGGCGAGCGUUGUCCGAAGUUACUGGGCGUAAAGAGCGUGUAGGCGGCUGGGUAGGUCCGUUGUGAAAACUCGAGGCUCAACCUCGAGACGUCGGUUGAAACCACCUGGCUAGAGUCCGGAAGAGGAGAGUGGAAUUCCUGGUGUAGCGGUGAAAUGCGCAGAUAUCAGGAAGAACACCCGUGGCGAAGGCGGCUCUCUGGACGGUACUGACGCUGAGACGCGAAAGCGUGGGGAGCGAACAGG